GGGGGAGCAUAAAUAAAGCUCAAGCGAGCUCUUCUUCCCCUUCCCCCAUCCUUCCGUGCCUCCCUCCUCCUUUUCACCUUCCAAAAGCCAGGCGCAGGCUAGCAGAGCAGCAGCAACAAGUUCAAAAGGAUGAAGAGGAUACUUUGUAUGGCAACUCAGGGAAUAGAAGGACAUAAGAAAGCCACCGCAGGAUUCCCCCAGACACUAUGCAUUUUUCCCGUAUGAUCCAGCCGUGCAGUCUUAACACCGGUGCUGUAUCAAAUGUUUGUGAAAACCCACUAAACCAAUAAAAGGACAUAUUUGCUAGGACACAGAGUCACAAAGUCGGGAGAAAAGGAAAAGAAACUUGAGCAACACAGUUUUCAAUGCUGAAAUGCAGAAAGAUAAACAUUUCAUGCUUCCCUUUGCUCUCUGCCCUGAAGAACUGAACUUUAUAGAUUGUAUCUAUGAGCUUCCUUGCCUUCUGGACCAGACGGAUUUUGAAAAUGGGCAAGCAAAGCAGAAAGUCAGAUGGAAGUUGGAGAGUGAGAUCAGGGAUUAAAUCUAACUUUGCCCCUGCCAGGAUGCCUUCGCUUGGCUGUACCUCUCAGUUGAAGGUUUCUCUUCCUCCCAAGGCUAUUGAUUCUGUAAGCUGCUUUCCUCUCAGAUUCUAGCAACAAGUCUAUAUCCUCCCUUGAUCUCCAAGCUCACUACUGACUCCAGGUAAACUUAGAGCUUCCAUCUUGGUGUAGCCAGCAGUGCCUAAGUCUCACAACCUGAAGGUGUCAAGUUCUAGAAGAGUGAGAAGAGUAAGAAAGAGAAGAGAGAAAGGCAGCUAAAUCACUGAUUUGACCCCCAUCCCUGGAGCCUGUGCAAUCCAAGAGUGAAUAGCAAAUGCUCCCUCUAAGACACCUCUGAGGAUUGUUCAUGGAGAUACAGAAGGGUAUGCAGGGGAGAUGGAGACAAAAGCACCUUCUUGAUAAUAUUCACUCAAGAAUGAUGGUAAACCAUGAAAUGAAUGACAGACAAAAACUGUGUAAGUUGAGGCAUACAUUUUCACUCUAUUUUGGGUGCUGGUACUCUGACAAUGUAUUUUAAGCUCAGCGUUCACUUUUUUCCCCCUCUCAUUCAAUUGUGUGAAAGCCACUCUUCUCAAGACUGACGCUUUUCUGUAGUAAUAUUGUCUGUUUAGAUUUGAAGCCACUAGGGCCCUGGCACAUACAGCUGGAAUACUCUAUUUUUAAAGAUAUAUUGUGUCUGUUAAUACAAAGGUCAUGAUGCAGAUUUUUGCACUUAGAAUCAGCAUGAGAAUGUGGGACUGUUCUUGCAGAUCUUGGCUCCAUCAGCAAAUAAAUUAAAAUAAACUGGCGGCUUGAAAUA
rnacentral:lncRNA from 9 species